CCCCUAGAUGUUCUGGGCCGCACGCGCGCUACACUGAACAGUUCAACAAGUCUUAACCUUGGCCGAUAGGUCUGGGUAAUCUUUGAACGCUGUUCGUGAUUGGGAUAGACCUUUGCAAUUAUGGGUCUUCAACGAGGAAUUCCUAGUAAACGCAAGUCAUCAGCCUGCGAUGAUUACGUCCCUGCCCUUUGUACACACCGCCCGUCGCUCCUACCGAUUUCGAGUGGUUCGGUGAACCUUUCGGACCGGCAAUGCCUCGUGUUGCGCCGGAAAGUCAAGUAAACCAUAUCACUUAGAGGAAGGAGAAGUCGUAACA
rnacentral:rRNA from 1 species